rnacentral:lncRNA from 1 species
GAUUAAGCCUAACUUUCUCCUCGUGUAAUCUUUUCUAUCUCGACUGAGCCAAAUGUGAUUUGACUCAUCCAGAAAAUCUUGAGAAGAUUUCUCACAGUCUGACUGGAGUCAGUCCAGCUCAGAAAGGACUUAUCUUAAUUCAUGAGAUGAAUUUAAGAUAACACCUGCUAAAUCCUGUCACCUGCCAUUUUCAUUUUAGGACAUUGGUCAAACG